UAACAGCCUGCCCACCCU
rnacentral:snRNA from 1 species